UAUAUAGAAUCUAGCUUUAGUUGACUCUAGACUAGAUCUAGGAUAAUUUCAAGUCUAGAUGUUCAGCUUCAUCUUACCUUGAUCAUGAUGAUUAAUUUUAAUCUGACUUCCUGACUUGUUAACUUAAACUUCGUCUUACUUAGCCCUUAGUCGCCUUAGCCUUAGCUUCUUCAUAUGUGAAUCAUGAAUGGAAGUGCUUGGCUCACAGUGUCACAGAUCGUUCUUUAAACUAUUUGAAGAUCUACUUUAUCUUUACUAACGACUCUAAUCUAUAUCUAGUUUAUGUCUAUAUUUUAUAUGAUAAUAAUAGACAUAGACUCUUAUACUUAUAAUAAAGACAAAGUUAUAAGAUCUAGAUCUAGAAUCUGUAUCUAGAUCUAUUCCCAUUUGUGAUUUAUACACUACAGAUUUAAUGUUUCUGAUGAGCAAUACUACUAUCUACAGCCAUGCCCAUUAAUAUAGGCCCUACUCAUGUACUAGAUCUAGCUCUUUUGAUCACAACUCAUAUCUUGCCUAGAUAUAAACAACUGUACUAGAUUGGACUAGACAUUCUAAUCGGUUCUAUUUUCGUUUUUCAUUAUUCUCACAUAUUCUAGUAGGCAAUAGGUACCAAAUUGUGCUAUUUAUUCACUGUAGAUCUAGAUCUUAACUUUUCUCUUAACUACCAAAGAAGUACACAAAGGAUGUUGAAAGGUACCCAAAGGGCUCUUAUUGCUACCAUUCAAUGUGUGGAAUCAAGUAUUUACCCAGAUACUGCCACAAUAUGCUCUUAUUGUUUUCAAAGGAGUUUUCACACAGUGCCAGAAGCUGUAUAAAUACAUUUAACAAUGUAUAUUUCAAGAAGAAAUGAUGCUUUCUUAUUUCUAAGAGUUUAUCAAUAGGAUGAAUGCCACAAAACUCACUUGUUAUGCCAGAAACUCUUCCUACGAAACUUCCAUACUAGAAUUUGUCCAGUGCCUGUGAUCCUCUGAGUUGAAUGAGAAUGUGCUCCAUAAUACCUACUAGGAGCUUGCUGAUAGCUGGAAGUUCAUGAAUACUAUGUUGUCCUUGAUUUGAUGAUUCUGAAAACUACCAUUUCUGAAGACUUGAGCAUUAUUUCUAUAAUUUAAAAAAAUCUUUUCAGGAAAUAUUGUGUUUAUAAUAUUAAGAAAGGGAAGAUAAUAUUGUUCUUACUAAUAUUAUUGACUUAUUAAAAUAGAAAGCACAUCAUUACCAAUAUUCACUUGUCAAUAAAUGUUAGCAUUAUUCAAUUUUUAGUUACAUGUUCAAACUAUUAAAUUUUAUUAUUUAAAUUAUAGCAACUUUCUCUUUCAGUCCAGCUUAAGAUACAUUCCUGUAAAAAGUCUAUAAUAAUAAGUUAAUGUCGAUGUAGUACUGUUCAG